UUGAUCAAGCUACAAAGGGCGCAUGAUGGAUGCCUUGGUGCCAACAGGCGAAGAAGGACGUGAUAAGCUGCGAUAAGCUUCGGGUAGCGGCAAAUACGCUUUGACCCGGAGAUUUCCGAAUGGGGUAACCUGGCGGGAGUAAUGUCCCGUCGCCUCUGCUUGAAUACAUAGAGCAGAGAGCGCGAAACCCGGUGAAGUGAAACAUCUCAGUAACCGGAGGAAUAGAAAGCGAAAGCGAUUCCGUAAGUAGCGGCGAGCGAAAGCGGAACAGCCCAAACCAUCGGCUUGCCGAUGGGGUUGUAGGGCCCCGAUGUGGCAGUGCAACGAUUAGAUGAAGCGAAUGGAAAAUCGCUCCAGAGAGGGUGAGAGGCCCGUAAUCGAAAAUCCGAGCACGCCUAGGGAGUCCCUGAGUAACACGAUAUAAGUGAAGUCUCGUGUGAAACUGCGCGGACCACCGCGUAAGGCUAAAUACUAGUUGGCGACCGAUAGUGAACAAGUACCGCGAGGGAAAGGUGAAAAGCACCGCUGUGAGCGGAGUGAAAUAGAUCCUGAAAUCAUGCGCCUACAAGGUGUCAGAGCUCUUUAUGAGUGAUGGCGUGCCUUUUGCUUAAUGAGUCUGCGAGUUACUGUCAGUGGCAAGCCUAAGGUCUUCUGGACCGGAGGCGAAGCGAAAGCGAGUCUGAAUAGGGCGAACAUAGUCGCUGGCAGUAGACCCGAAGCGGAGGUGAUCUACCCAUGGCCAGGAUGAAGCGCGGGUAACACUGCGUGAAGGUCCGAACCGAUGAACAUUGAAAAGUUCCCGGAUGAGCUGUGGGUAGGAGCGAAAGACUAAUCAAACCCCGUGAUAGCUGGUUCUCCCCGAAAUAGCUUGAGGGCUAGCCUCGGAUGCUGACCCAAGGAGGUAGAGCACUGGAUGAACUAGGGCCCAUACCCGGGUACCGAAUUCAAUCAAACUCCGAAUGCCUUGGGGUGUAAUCCGGGAGUCAGUGCGCGAGGGAUAAGCUUCGUGCGCGAGAGGCAAACAUGCCAGACCAGCAGCUAAGGUGCCUAAAUACCGCGUAGUGGAAAGGAGGUGGAGAUACUUAGACAAUGAGGAUGUUGGCUUAGAGGCAGCCACCAUUUAAACAGUGCGUAAUAGCUGACUCAUCGAGUGUUUCUGCGCCGAAAAUGAUUGGCGAUCAGCGGUAUACCGAAGCUCUGGAGCGAUAGCGGAUUCGUCUUCUAUCGUUGGUAGGGGAGCGUUGUAGCGGCGUUGAAGCAGGAGUGAAAACAACUGUGGAGCUUCUACAAGUGAGAAUGCAGACAUGAGUAGCGAUAAGACAGGUUAAAUUCCUGUCCGCCGUAAACCCAAGGUUUCCUGGGGAAGGUUCGUCCUCCCAGGGUUAGUCGGGACCUAAGUCGAGGCCGAAGGGCGUAGGCGAUGGAAAGCAGGUUAAAUAUUCCUGCACCACCGACAUUUAAGCCGGAAAGACGCUGUGCUGGAGAUGGGCGAGGUGAUGAAAGUCCUUGUCCCGCAAGGGGACGUGGAGGCUACGGCCGAAGCGGAUCCAUUGAAGGCUUAGCCAAGAAAAGCUCCGGUGUAUACUAAGGUGCCCGUACCGUAAACCGACACAGGUGGGUGGGUAGAAUAUACCAAGGCGCGUGAGUGAAACCUCGUUAAGGAACUCGGCAAUCUAGCCCCGUAACUUCGGAAGAAGGGGUGCCAGUCUUUGACUGGUCGCAGUGAAAGGGGUCAACCGACUGUUUAACAAAAACACAGCACUCUGCUAAGUCGUAAGACGACGUAUAGGGUGUGACACGUGACCAAUGCGGAAAGAUUACGGUAAGAGGUUAGGCG
rnacentral:rRNA from 1 species